rnacentral:rRNA from 1 species
UGGGGAAUAUUGCACAAUGGGCGCAAGCCUGAUGCAGCCAUGCCGCGUGUAUGAAGAAGGCCUUCGGGUUGUAAAGUACUUUCAGCGGGGAGGAAGGCGAUAAGGUUAAUAACCUUGUCGAUUGACGUUACCCGCAGAAGAAGCACCGGCUAACUCCGUGCCAGCAGCCGCGGUAAUACGGAGGGUGCAAGCGUUAAUCGGAAUUACUGGGCGUAAAGCGCACGCAGGCGGUCUGUCAAGUCGGAUGUGAAAUCCCCGGGCUCAACCUGGGAACUGCAUUCGAAACUGGCAGGCUAGAGUCUUGUAGAGGGGGGUAGAAUUCCAGGUGUAGCGGUGAAAUGCGCAGAGAUCUGGAGGAAUACCGGUGGCGAAGGCGGCCCCCUGGACAAAGACUGACGCUCAGGUGCGAAAGCGUGGGGAGCAAACA